rnacentral:rRNA from 1 species
AUUGAACGCUGGCGGCAGGCCUAACACAUGCAAGUCGAACGAGUGGCGGACGGGUGAGUAAUGUCUGGGAAACUGCCCGAUGGAGGGGGAUAACUACUGGAAACGGUAGCUAAUACCGCAUACCAUCAGAUGUGCCCAGAUGGGAUUGGCUGGUUGGUGGGGUAACGGCUCCCCAAGGCGACGAUCCCUAGCUGGUCUGAGAGGCUGACCAGCCACAUUGGAACUGGGACACGGUCAGGACUCCUACGGGAGGCGGCAGUGGGGAUGAUUGCACAAGGGGCGCAAGCCGGAGGCAGCCCUGCGGCGGGUAUGAAGAAGGCCUUCGGGUUUUAAGGUACUUUCAGCGGGGAGGCGUUACCCGCAGAAGAAGCACCGGCUAACUCCGUGCCAGCAGCCGCGGUAAUAC